CCUCCUGUCUCUGAGGUCGUGGGAGUAGUGAGCAGGAGGAUGCGGGAACGGCCAGCCAGGCCAGCGGCCCACGCUCCAGCACCAGCACAUUUGCCUCGGGAACCCCCUGCUGACCUGUUGUGAUGGCACGGUUAACCUGUGCCUUCCAGCUGUCUCAGUGGAGCCACCGCCAGCCAGUCUGGGGGAUCCAAGCCACUGCUGAACCCCAGCGCAGUCCAGCAGCUCCAGGAACCUGGGCAGCAGCGCCCCUCACGCCCUGAUUCGCAUAGGGCUUACUUGUUGAUGCUCCUGGAGAGACUGCUCUGCAGGAGGAGCUGCCCUCAGGGCUUUGGGUGUCCCUGUGUGAAGCCAGGCCACAUGGGGUGCCUGGAGCUGUCAGCAAAGACCCACGCACCCGGCUGCCCCGUUCCUGCCCUGUACCCCUGCAAAUCUUCCAUCUCGCUCACCGGCUUCUCCUGGGCAGAUGCUCCUGCAGCCCCCAGGGAGGGGUCCUAGCACUCAGGCUGCAUCUCCCUGCUGGCCACAGGCAGAAUCUGAGUGUGGGUGUGAGCCCCAGAAUCCCCAGGGGGAGGAAGCCUCAAGAUGCGGUUGGCGUCACAUACGGUGUGUCAUCGUGGAGUUGGAGAUGUUCAUGCUGUAGGCAGCGGGGCAGCGCUCUCUGUCCAUCCCAGGCACUUGGGACUGUCCACUUCUGCCACCCACGCUCCUUGGCUGUGGGCCACAGUGGGAGGGGGCCUGGAGGAGUCCCCACCAGCCCAGGGUCGGGCAGGAGGGGUACUGGCUCUGUCUUUUCUGCUGGGACAAUAAAGCCUCCCACAUA